AUCUAUACGAUGAAAAAGAAGUGUGUAGUUAUAAAAAUUUUAAAGAGAGUCUUUCGCUGGUGGAAGAAAGAUAAAUUUAGAUUACACAUAUGGCUUUUGGAGUAAUUUAUCCGAUAUGUAGGGUAAAUCGUGAAAUCUUUGCGUUAAAAGAGUAAAGUGCUAUGUACAUUGUAUAUAGAACUAAGGUGGUACCGCGGAUUAUUAAAUGAUGUUCGUCCUUAGA
rnacentral:ncRNA from 1 species